GACGAACCGUGCGAACGUUGUUCGGAAUCACUGGGCUUAAAGGGCUCGUAGGCGGCCAACUAAGUCAGACGUGAAAUCCCCAGGCUCAACCUGGGAACUGCGUCUGAUACUGGAUGGCUUGAAUCCGGGAGAGGGAUGCAGAAUUCCAGGUGUAGCGGUGAAAUGCGUAGAUAUCUGGAGGAAUACCGGUGGCGAAGGCGGCAUCCUGGACCGGCAUUGACGCUGAGGAGCGAAAGCUAGGGGAGCAAACGGG
rnacentral:rRNA from 1 species